UUCCUGACCCAGGGAUGGAACCCGUGUCUCUUGCAUCUCCUGCAUGGACAGGCGGAUUCUUUACCAACUGCGCUACCUAGGAAGUGGGUGCAGACUCGGUCUUGGUAAAGUCCUGCCCUGGUCUAACCAAGAGAUGAGGGAAUGGAGGCCUAAGAAAGAUCAGGGAGUUUGUGAAGAUCACAGAGUUAGCAGUGAUUCGUCUUUUUCGGAAAACUGAAGAAAUGAAUCAGGAAUCCUGGAGAACGCUGGCAGAUCCUGCAUUCAUGGCUGUGUGCCCCUAGGCAAGAUAUGAUCCGGGGCUGGGCUGGUUUAGCCUGACAUGGAUUUGGAGGUGCUUGGGGGUAAAGCUCAUCUAAAGAGUGACAUUUAGACUCUGAGCCCGAAGAGUGGAAUGUGAGUCCCAGGAAGGCAUGAAUGAAGGAAGAAGAUGGACCAUGUGAAGAUGAUGCCCUCCCCCCCGCCAGCACCGGCCUAAUCCAGAGGAAAACCACAAUGGAGACCCCUUGAUAUGGUCCAUUGGGGUUGGCCUCCAGAGACUCAAAGCAGGGUGGAGCAGGCGGGAGAGAGGCUCUGGAAGGGCAGCUGGAAGCCACCCAGAACACACACAACUGCGGGCAAAACACAACUGAAUGGUAACCUUUGAACAGACCUGGAAGGAUAAGGUCCAAAAACGUACCUGAGUUGAAUGUGGCAAGAGUUCGUGCUUUGUGAAGUUAGAGAACGACAACAUUCAUCUGGCAAAAGUGGCCAGAAGAAGUGGAAAUUCUAGUGAUGUUUAAGUAAGGGGACAAAGACGGCUGGAGGCCCUGGGGGUGAAGAAGUGAUUCCUUGCAUCUGUCCAUGCUUGAAAGAUAGAGAUGAUAGCGAGAUAAGAGGAUGAAAGAUGUGCGAACAGCAGAUGCUCCAAGAGGGAACAUCUGUCUAUAGGCUCCUGGAUUCUGAUGUGUGAGCGUUUGGUCUAAGGAACUGUUUUCAAGCCUGCGAACUGCUUGGCAGACUCUGGUCUGGGACACUUCCUUAUGCACCAAGUAAGGAACAAGCUACAACCACCAACACAACAACGAGCCAAGUUGCGUAAGGAAAUACACACUUGUCAGUCACUUGCCAAAUGCCCUUCUCUGAGUCAGGGGGUUGGGUGUCCCACCCCUGCAGGGUCCUGCAGCCUGCAGAAUAGUUCUUGCAUGGUGCAUGUUUCAUUGUGAGCAGAGACUGUCUCUACCACAUAGGAGGAACUUUAUUUUUCCUUAAUAAAGCACGUAGUUUGUGUUUGGAACGUGCGUGUGCUUGCAUGUGUGCAUGUGUGUGGGUGCAUGUCACUGAAUGUAUCUGUGUGCCUGCCUGUGACGCUGGGCCAGCAGAGAUGGACACACUUCCACUCAUGAGA